UACGUAGGGGGCAAGCGUUGUCCGGAUUUAUUGGGCGUAAAGAGCUCGUAGGCGGUUGCGUAAGUCGGAUGUGAAAACUCAGGGCUCAACCCUGAGACGCCAUCCGAUACUGCGCUGACUCGAAUCCAGUAGGGGAGUGUGGAAUUCCUGGUGUAGCGGUGAAAUGCGCAGAUAUCAGGAGGAACACCCAUGGCGAAGGCAGCACUCUGGGCUGGUAUUGACGCUGAGGAGCGAAAGCAUGGGUAGCGAACAGG
rnacentral:rRNA from 1 species